AUCUCUGCAACAAAAGCCCUACGAGAUUGGACUAAUGUGUUGCCAUCUUUGGAUGCCCCAAAUAAUGGGCAUAUUGUUCUAGUGGUUAAGUGAAGUGUUAUUAAGCUGAAGGUCUUGUGUUUGAAUUGCUGCUCUGGCAAGGGUGUUAUAUUUUUUGCUCGGUGGACUGAUAGAGUUUCAACCAAACAGAAAGUCUGAGUAGUGAUAGUUAGGGCCUAUUCUUCUGUGCUUAAAAAUAACACUUUUGGAAGAAAA